AUUGAACGCUGGCGGCAGGCUUAACACAUGCAAGUCGAGCGAGCGGCGGACGGGUGAGUAAUGUCUGGGAAACUGCCUGGUGGAGGGGGAUAACUACUGGAAACGGUAGCUAAUACCGCAUACUAUCAGAUGAGCCCAGAUGGGAUUAGCUAGUAGGUGGGGUAAUGGCUCACCUAGGCGACGAUCCCUAGCUGGUCUGAGAGGAUGACCAGCCACACUGGAACUGAGACACGGUCCAGACUCCUACGGGAGGCAGCAGUGGGGAAUAUUGCACAAUGGGCGCAAGCCUGAUGCAGCCAUGCCGCGUGUAUGAAGAAGGCCUUCGGGUUGUAAAGUACUUUCAGUGGGGAGGCGUUACUCGCAGAAGAAGCACCGGCUAACUCCGUGCCAGCAGCCGCGGUAAUUC
rnacentral:rRNA from 1 species